rnacentral:rRNA from 1 species
GAUGAACGCUCGCGGGAGGCCUAACACAUGCAAGCCGAGCGGUAGAGUUUCUUCGGAAACUUGAGAGCGGCGCACGGGUGCGUAACACGUGUGCAACCUACCUUUAUCUGGGGGAUAGCCUUUCGAAAGGAAGAUUAAUACCCCAUAAUAUAAUGAUUGGCAUCAAUUAUUAUUGAAAACUCCGGUGGAUAGAGAUGGGCACGCGCAAGAUUAGAUAGUUGGUGAGGUAACGGCUCACCAAGUCAAUGAUCUUUAGGGGUCCUGAGAGGGAGAUCCCCCACACUGGUACUGAGACACGGACCAGACUCCUACGGGAGGCAGCAGUGAGGAAUAUUGGACAAUGGGUGAGAGCCUGAUCCAGCCAUCCCGCGUGAAGGAUGACGGUCCUAUGGAUUGUAAACUUCUUUUGGACAGGGAUAAACCUACCCUCGUGAGGGUAGCUGAAGGUACUGUACGAAUAAGCACCGGCUAACUCCGUG